AAUCAACGCUGGCGGCGUGCCUAACACAUGCAAGUCGAACGCGAGAGGGGCUUCGGCCCCAAUUGAGUGGCGAACGGGUGAGUAACGCGUGGGUGACCUACCUUCGAGUGGGGGAUAACGUCCCGAAAGGGACGCUAAUACCGCAUAACAUCCUCUUUUUGAACAGAGGGAGAUCAAAGCCGGGGAUCGCAAGACCUGGCGCUUGAUGAGGGGCCCGCGUCUGAUUAGCUAGUUGGUGAGGUAAUGGCCCACCAAGGCAACGAUCAGUAUCCGGCCUGAGAGGGCGGACGGACACACUGGGACUGAGACACGGCCCAGACUCCUACGGGAGGCAGCAGUGGGGAAUUGUUCGCAAUGGGCGCAAGCCUGACGACGCAACGCCGCGUGGAGGAUGAAGGUCUUCGGAUUGUAAACUCCUGUUGCCCGGGACGAAAAGCUUUGACCUAACACGUCAGAGUCUGACGGUACCGGGUGAGGAAGCCCCGGCUAACUCUGUGCCAGCCGCCGCAGUAAUAC
rnacentral:rRNA from 1 species